rnacentral:rRNA from 1 species
UACGUAGGGUGCAAGCGUUAAUCGGAAUUACUGGGCGUAAAGCGUGCGCAGGCGGUUGUGCAAGACAGAUGUGAAAUCCCCGGGCUUAACCUGGGAACUGCAUUUGUGACUGCACGGCUAGAGUGUGUCAGAGGGGGGUAGAAUUCCACGUGUAGCAGUGAAAUGCGUAGAUAUGUGGAGGAACACCGAUGGCGAAGGCAGCCCCCUGGGAUAACACUGACGCUCAUGCACGAAAGCGUGGGGAGCAAACAGG